rnacentral:rRNA from 1 species
AUAUUUGAGAGUUUGAUCCUGGCUCAGGAUGAACGCUGGCGGCGUGCCUAACACAUGCAAGUCGAGCGAUCUCUUCGGAGAGAGCGGCGGACGGGUGAGUAACGCGUGGGUAACCUGCCCUGUACACACGGAUAACAUACCGAAAGGUAUACUAAUACGGGAUAACAUACGAAAGUCGCAUGGCUUUUGUAUCAAAGCUCCGGCGGUACAGGAUGGACCCGCGUCUGAUUAGCUAGUUGGUAAGGUAAUGGCUUACCAAGGCAACGAUCAGUAGCCGACCUGAGAGGGUGAUCGGCCACACUGGAACUGAGACACGGUCCAGACUCCUACGGGAGGCAGCAGUGGGGAAUAUUGCACAAUGGGCGAAAGCCUGAUGCAGCAACGCCGCGUGAGCGAUGAAGGCCUUCGGGUCGUAAAGCUCUGUCCUCAAGGAAGAUAAUGACGGUAC